rnacentral:rRNA from 1 species
AUGAACGCUGGCGGCGUGCCUAAUACAUGCAAGUCGAGCGAACGGACGAGAAGCUUGCUUCUCUGAUGUUAGCGGCGGACGGGUGAGUAACACGUGGAUAACCUACCUAUAAGACUGGGAUAACUUCGGGAAACCGGAGCUAAUACCGGAUAAUAUUUUGAACCGCAUGGUUCAAAAGGGAAAGACGGUCUUGCUGUCACUUAUAGAUGGAUCCGCGCUGCAUUAGCUAGUUGGUAAGGUAACGGCUUACCAAGGCAACGAUGCAUAGCCGACCUGAGAGGGUGAUCGGCCACACUGGAACUGAGACACGGUCCAGACUCCUACGGGAGGCAGCAGUAGGGAAUCUUCCGCAAUGGGCGAAAGCCUGACGGAGCAACGCCGCGUGAGUGAUGAAGGUCUUCGGAUCGUAAAACUCUGUUAUUAGGGAAGAACAUAUGUGUAAGUAACUGUGCACAUCUUGACGGUACCUAAUCAGAAAGCCACGGCUAACUACGUG